rnacentral:rRNA from 1 species
CCUACGGGAGGCUGCAGUGAGGAAUAUUGGUCAAUGGGCGCGAGCCUGAACCAGCCAAGUAGCGUGAAGGAUGACUGCCCUACGGGUUGUAAACUUCUUUUAUAAAGGAAUAAAGUGAGGCACGUGUGCCUUUUUGUAUGUACUUUAUGAAUAAGGAUCGGCUAACUCCGUGCCAGCAGCCGCGGUAAUACGGAGGAUCCGAGCGUUAACCGGAUUUAUUGGGUUUAAAGGGAGCGUAGAUGGGUUGUUAAGUCAGUUGUGAAAGUUUGCGGCUCAACCGUAAAAUGGCAAUUGAUACUGGAAGCCUUGAGUACAGUUGAGGUAGGAGGAAUUCGAGGUGUAGCGGUAAAAUGCUUAGAUAUAACGAAGAAC